GAACCAGCAGAACCGGUCAAGUAUCCCGACUCCACCAGAGGCGACCCGGCCCAACUGCCCUCCUCCAGGCCGGCGGGGGGCGGGGACCCGGACCCGGGUCACUGGCAACUCUGGCUUUUGCAGGAGAGAGCUCGGCGGCAGCCUGGACUUCGCUCCCGGGAAGGAGCCCCAGGAGAACUGCGUCUAGGGGCACCGUGAGGCCAGACCUGCAGCCAUCUGUGGGGACCCAGCAGGGGUCCUGGAUGCCACCACAGAUCCUUGGGGCACAGCCCUCCGAGGACACCGACUCCACCCCUCCAGUUCCAGGAGGGAGGGCGCGAGUGCGCCACUCUCUCUGAGCCUCUCGGUCCUGAGUCCCACAAAAACACCAAACGUGAACCCCAGGGGUCCUGGCUCCUCCCCUGCCUCCCACCCGCACCAUCUUUGCUCCGAUCAGAGUGGGGGGCCCGAGCCUGAUUCCUGAGGAAGCGCAGGCUGCUGCGAGAGGUGCAGGUACAGCAGGCAGUGCCGGGCUUUUUUUUUUCUCCCAUUCAGAUCUGGGGGCUAAACCCAGGCCCUUUGCACCGGCCUUUUUUAUUUUUUAUUUCAGGACAGGGUCUGCCUGUCUCCCGAUUGUGUCCCUUGUCCUGCCACCAACUUGCUCUCCUCCUGGUCCAUCUGGUCCGUC